rnacentral:rRNA from 1 species
GACGAACGCUGGCGGCGUGCUUAACACAUGCAAGUCGAACGGAAAGGCCCUGCUUUUGUGGGGUGCUCGAGUGGCGAACGGGUGAGUAACACGUGAGUAACCUGCCCUUGACUUUGGGAUAACUUCAGGAAACUGGGGCUAAUACCGGAUAGGAGCUCCUGCUGCAUGGUGGGGGUUGGAACGUUUCGGCGGUUGGGGAUGGACUCGCGGCUUAUCAGCUUGUUGGUGGGGUAGUGGCUUACCAAGGCUUUGACGGGUAGCCGGCCUGAGAGGGUGACCGGCAAAAGUGGGACUGAGAUACGGCCCAGACUCGUACGGGAGGCAGCAGUGGGGAAUAGUGCAUGAUGGGCGGAAGCCGGAUGCAGCAACGCCGCGUGCUGGAUGACGGCCUUCGGGUUGUAAACCGCUUUCGCCUGUGACGAAGCGUGAGUGACGGUAAUGGGUAAAGAAGCACCGGCUAACUACGUG